CUAUUUUGAUUGGCUAACAGACAUUUUAUUCACUUGUGGUUUUUGUGUGGAAUUGAACGUAGACAGUAGCUAUGCCGGCCAAGCUGGAGGAGGUAUUGGAAAAUGAGCGGAGCAUGGCGGGGGGUUCGGGGGGAAGCUGAUGAUUUCCCACAAUCCUGUCCGGCUGCGCUGAUGAAUGUCAGAAAACACAGGAGUGUUUUGCUUGUGGCAUGAUUGGUUAGGGACGUUACCUCAUUGUCUCCUUCCUGUGCACCGUCACGUACAUCUCAUACACUCGUCCCUGAGGGAUAGCACCCGCUGGCACCAACAAGCUCACGCCUGUGGGUCUGGCUGUAAGUCGUACAGAGCCUCUUCUUCAGCAGCACUCGAUGCGGCCUGUUCUUCAUUAAGCUUUUUAGCAUCAAUCAGUGGCUGGCAGCACCUGGGCUACCACAAUCCAGACUGUAAGUGCUGACACUCGCAUACACACUAAACGCUACUGGAUCACUUCAAGAUGUGCACCAGAAGCUCACGUGGUGGAAAUGCGGUGCACAUUCAUGACAUCAGGAAAUUCACAAAUAAUAAUGAAGUGCCUGACUGUUUAGAGUCAUUUUAAAUUGUUUUUUAGUUUGUUUAAUAUUAGUCCUAAAGUCAUGAUUAACUAAUUAAAGCUCACUGGUCAAAAGGUCGAUUCAUAUUUUUUAUAUCCUGUCAUGUUCUUCACUGUUUAUGUGAUGUGGUUAUCUACACCAGUAUAUCAUUACUUUCCACCCCUCACCCACCUGAGU